rnacentral:rRNA from 1 species
AUUGCCCCAGUAACGGCGAGUGAAGCGGCAAGAGCUCAAAUUUGAAAUCUGGCCCUCUCAGGGCCCGAGUUGUAAUUUGUAGAGGGCGCUUUGGCGUUGGCCCCGGCCUAAGUUCCUUGGAACAGGACGUCACAGAGGGUGAGAACCCCGUACGUGGCCGCCGGCCUCCGCCGUGUAAAGCCCCUUCGACGAGUCGAGUUGUUUGGGAAUGCAGCUCUAAAUGGGAGGUAAAUUUCUUCUAAAGCUAAAUACUGGCCAGAGACCGAUAGCGCACAAGUAGAGUGAUCGAAAGAUGAAAAGCACUUUGGAAAGAGAGUCAAAAAGCACGUGAAAUUGUUGAAAGGGAAGCGCUUGCAGCCAGACUUGCCUGUAGUUGUUCAUCCGGUGUCUUCAUCGGUGCACUCUUCUGCGGGCAGGCCAGCAUCAGUCCGGGCGGUCGGAUAAAGGCCUCGGGAAUGUAGCUCCCCUCGGGGAGUGUUAUAGCCCGGGGUGCCAUGCGACCAGCCUGGACUGAGGUCCGCGCAUCCGCUAGGAUGCUGGCGUAAUGGCUGUAAGCGGCCCGUCUUGAAACACGGACCAAGGAGUCUAACAUCUAUGCGAGUGUUUGGGUGUCAAGCCCGGGCGCGCAAUGAAAGUGAACGGAGGUGGGAACCCCUCGGGGCGCACCAUCGACCGAUCCUGAUGUCUUCGGAUGGAUUUGAGUAAGAGCAUAGCUGUUGGGACCCGAAAGAUGGUGAACUAUGCCUGAAUAGGGUGAAGCCAGAGGAAACUCUGGUGGAGGCUCGCAGCGGUUCUGACGUGCAAAUCGAUCGUCAAAUUUGGGCAUAGGGGCGAAAGA